AGUCAGAGAGAGAUGCAACUGAAGCUGGAACAGUCAAAAGUUCGAGAAAGGGAGCAAAGGGAGCAAAACCGUCGCUAUGAACAGCAAGUUGACCAACUAAACGACCGGCUGUCCGACGUAGAACGACAAAAGGCAACGAUGGUCGAAUGCGCCACAGAGAGGCCACAGACCAGCACCACAGGCGAGGUUUUCGUAAAAG